rnacentral:rRNA from 1 species
UACGAAGGGGGCUAGCGUUGUUCGGAAUCACUGGGCGUAAAGCGCACGCAGGCGGAUUGAUAAGUCAGGGGUGAAAUCCCGGAGCUCAACUUCGGAAUUGCCUUUGAUACUGUCUAUCUUCGAGUUCGGGAGAGGUUGGCGGAAUUCCUAGUGUAGAGGUGAAAUUCGUAGAUAUUAGGAAGAACACCAGUGGCGAAGGCGGCGAUCUGGGAAGAUACUGACGCUGAGGUGCGAAAGCGUGGGGAGCAAACAGGG